rnacentral:rRNA from 1 species
GAACGGGUGAGUAACACGUAGGUGACCUACCCUCGAGUGGGGGAUAACCAUUGGAAACGAUGGCUAAUACCGCAUAAAGUCCCGGCAACUCCUGUUGUUGGGAUGAAAACUCUGGUGCUCGAGGAUGGACCUGCGGUGGAUUAGGAAGUUGGUGAGGUAACGGCUCACCAAUCCUGCGAUCCAUAGCUGGUCUGAGAGGAUGAUCAGCCACACUGGCACUGAGACACGGGCCAGACUCCUACGGGAGGCAGCAGUGAGGAAUCUUGGGCAAUGGGCGAAAGCCUGACCCAGCCACGCCGCGUGCAGGAUGACACCCCUAUGGGGCGUAAACUGCUUUUAUAUGGGAAGAACCCUCUCGAUUCGUCGGGAGCUGACGGUACCAUACGAAUAAGGACCGGCUAACUCCGUGCCAGCAGCCGCGGUAAUACGGAGGGUCCAAGCGUUGUCCGGAUUUAUUGGGUGUAAAGGGUGUGUAGGCGGGCUUGUAAGUCAGAGGUGAAAUCCUACGGCUCAACCGUAGAACUGCCUUUGAUACUGCAGGUCUUGAGUCCUGGAGAGGUUG